GCCCCCUCGGUACCUGCCGGGCGGGCGGUGCCGGCGGGGGCGGGAGGAGAGGCGUGAUGGGAGCCGGGAGAAAGAACGACGAGAAGAAAGGACGCUGCUGCCCGCGCAGGUUGCCCGGCCGGGUGUGGCUGUGCGCAGCCAUUGGGGAGGCGGGCGCGGCUGUCACCCCGCCGGCCAAGCUGCCCGCCGCAGGCUGGGGCGAACAGUAGGCACUUCGCGCUCUCCAGGGGCCAGCCGUGAGGAGAAAUCAUGUCUACAAUCAGCAGCCUUUGUCAGCCAGGUUUCUCUUCCCCCUGCUUCUCUCCAUGUGGCAGCGGUAACCAGCUGCGGUGAAGGUUGAAGACAUUUCAAAACCCAAAGACCCAAAGCAGUGCUGCUUAUACUCAGCUUUCAGCUGAACAAAAGUAAUGUUCUCGUUUCUCAUGUGCAAAGGUGGAAAACAGAUAUCAAAGUGAGCAGCACCUUGCUAGUUUUCUGUGGUUUUAGGUGAAGAGUGUGUCUCAUUCUCUGAUCAAUUAAUUGUGUGGGAGGUGCUAGGUGAAAGGGGGAAGGUCCCCCACUGUAAUUGCUAUACAUUGUACAGAAGAACUGAAGAAGUACAAGAGGAAACAAACCAGGGAAGAGAGGAGAAAAAGCUGGGAACACAAGUUUUUAUAUGAUGCUGUGGUGACUUCGUAUCUUCCUAAAGAUCAGGCAGGGAGAAGAUGGCGGCCCCUUCUGCUCUACUUACAGGCCCUUUUGUCUGUACUUAAGAGCUUGUAACUGUGUCUAAAAGUGUAAGGAAGGGAGAAUAUGGAAGAAAAUCCUGAUUUUACACCAUAAAAUAGUUUGAAAUGUGUGCAUAUACAGGACUCCUCAAUCUGCAGGCCUCUCAAAAGUGACUCUAGUCUUACUGUAAAGGAAGACCAGUAGGAACCAAGUGCUUCUAAAGCAUUUAUCAGCAAUCCUAGAUUCUUCAGUUUUACAUACUUUCUGUAAAGUACACACUUUCUGUGUAAGUCUGUAUGUAUUUUAGUGGGAAAUGCUUAAGCUAUAAAAUAUUGGCAGUGUUUCUUUCAUUGCAAAUGUAUGUAAAAAGGUAAAACACUUGAAAGCAUUUUACAAGACAGUAUUUUGUGGGUUUUUUUGUGGGUUUUAUUUUUCUGAGGUUUUUUUGUUUGUUUGUUUUAUUUCAUAAACUAAAUAAUUAUUGUCUAGCUGAAGCCAUUUUUGGGAAAUUUACAUGCCUUCCUUGCUUGUGGUGUAAAUAACAAAUAUAGUACACUGUCAAUGGGUAUAUGCUGGUAUUGUCCUUAUCUUCUAAUCACUUGUAUUCCUUGAUUAUUUUUUUCUCUCUAAAAACUUUGGAUGUUCCUGUGUAGAUCUUGCCAUACUGCCUGGGUGUUACAACUGAUGCAUUUUGCUUCAUACUGUUCUUUUGAGACCAGCUGGCUGGUAGUUAUUCUUAAGGGCCUUUUAACCUUCAGGCUUUAUUGUUAGGAUUUUGUUUGUUUUUUUAAUAAGGGGAGGCAGGAAAGGGAAGAAAAUAGGUCUAUUUUCAGUCCCUGUGUUUCAUUAAUUAUUCAAAAGCUGUUUCUGUUUUCAUAUCAUAGCUAAGCAGCGAGUCCUGAAGGGAAGGGGAAAUACCAAUAUCUGUCGAUACAUCCAUAGGAUUCACUGAAAAAUAGAUUUUUACCUUUAAUAUAUAUGUUUGCAGUAAUUACAGCAAAAAACUGCUAUUUCUGCAUAAAAUAUCCAAUUUGAAGCAAAGUUCUCUCAAAGAAAGCCACCGAAUAGGGUUACCUGUCUGUGUUUUGAAGAUGUAGGAGUGCUCGUGCUGACUUAGGGCAAUUGCUGUUUAUUGGAGGCUAUCCUCUGGAUUUUUCACUGUGCUACUUAGGGUCCAAAUUGUGUUACCUAUUGCUGAUGUCUAUGAGCUUCUUGGGAAGCUUCUCUUCUUUCAUAUUUUUUCAUUUCAGGAUACCAGUUCAUAGCACCAAGGUACUGAAAUCCAUUUGAAAUUGCAUAAUGUGUGUCAAUAUAAGUGUCUUGAUUUCAAAGAUCUGUAUUAUAAAUAUGUUAUUUAAUAAAUAGAUUUUAUUAUCCUUGUCA
rnacentral:lncRNA from 1 species